AUUGAACGCUGGCGGCAGGCCUAACACAUGCAAGUCGAACGGUAACAGGAAACAGCUUGCUGUUUCGCUGACGAGUGGCGGACGGGUGAGUAAUGUCUGGGAAACUGCCUGAUGGAGGGGGAUAACUACUGGAAACGGUAGCUAAUACCGCAUAACGUCGCAAGACCAAAGAGGGGGACCUUCGGGCCUCUUGCCAUCGGAUGUGCCCAGAUGGGAUUAGCUAGUAGGUGGGGUAACGGCUCACCUAGGCGACGAUCCCUAGCUGGUCUGAGAGGAUGACCAGCCACACUGGAACUGAGACACGGUCCAGACUCCUACGGGAGGCAGCAGUGGGGAAUAUUGCACAAUGGGCGCAAGCCUGAUGCAGCCAUGCCGCGUGUAUGAAGAAGGCCUUCGGGUUGUAAAGUACUUUCAGCGGGGAUGAAGGGAGUAAAGUUAAUACCUUUGCUAAUUGACGUUACCCGCAGAAGAAGCACCGGCUAACUCCGUG
rnacentral:rRNA from 1 species